rnacentral:tRNA from 1 species
GGCCCGUUGGUCAAGUGGUUAAGACACCGCCCUUUCACGGCGGUAACAUGGGUUC